UCAUCCUAAAGCUUGUACACCUUUUUAUACUAGACGGUGUAUUGGCGUCCUCUGCUGGCAUAUUAGCUGAAUUAAAAAACAAUAAUCAAGACUAAGCAACUAAAUUAUUGGAAAUGUGGUAAAAUAUUUGACCCUUAUUAAAAUAUGCUUUGCCAGUUGCAUUUUGUAGACAUAUUUAACUGAUAAAUUGCUAUUGUGUUUGUUACAGGACUUAGCUAAAACAGCAUGACCAAACUUUCUUAAUAAAAAGACCAGUCUGGUUCGCCACCAUGAAGCAACCAUGAGCCCUGCUCUAACCAGACUGUUGACCAGGACUGGCAAACCAGUGCCCCCGGAGGAAACCUACGCAGACACAGGGAGAACAUGGAAACUCCACCCAGAAAGAGACUUGAACCCAAGACCCCAGUGCUGGGAGAUGAACGUGCUAUAACCACUAAGC